GUUGACCUCGGAUCAGGUAGGAAUACCCGCUGAACUUAAGCAUAUCAAUAAGCGGAGGAAAAGAAACCAACAGGGAUUGCCUCAGUAACGGCGAGUGAAGCGGCAACAGCUCAAAUUUGAAAUCUGGCCCCAGGCCCGAGUUGUAAUUUGCAGAGGAUGCUUUUGGUGCGGUGCCUUCCAAGUUCCCUAGAACGGGACGCCAGAGAGGGUGAGAGCCCCGUACAGUUGGACACCAAGCCUUUGUAAAGCUCCUUCGACGAGUCGAGUAGUUUGGGAAUGCUGCUCAAAAUGGGAGGUAUAUUUCUUCUAAAGCUAAAUACCGGCCAGAGACCGAUAGCGCACAAGUAGAGUGAUCGAAAGAUGAAAAGCACUUUGAAAAGAGGGUUAAACAGCACGUGAAAUUGUUAAAAGGGAAGCGCUUGUGACCAGACUUGCGUCCGGUGAAUCACCCAGCUCUCGCGGCUGGGGCACUUCGCCGGCUCAGGCCAGCAUCAGCUCGCUGUCGGGGACAAAAGCUUCAGGAACGUAGCUCUCUUCGGGGAGUGUUAUAGCCUGUUGCACAAUACCCUUCGGCGGGCUGAGGUACGCGCUCCGCAAGGAUGCUGGCAUAAUGGUCAUCAGCGAC
rnacentral:rRNA from 1 species